rnacentral:lncRNA from 1 species
GAGAGUACAGCUCCAAACUUAUGAGCACGACCUGGACCCUGUCGCCCUCCCUGCAUCGCGACCACCCCAUCCCCGCAUUCCCACCCCCAAGGAGCGCGGGCUUCACCAAGCCCCUUUCGCCGGUCCUCCCAUCAGGCCGGCUCUCACUGGCUUGUUCCUUCCGGGACAGACAACGCGUGGUUUUUCUCCCAAUACACUCCCUCAACCGCGCACAGCGUUACUGCAAUGAGACCAGUGACCAGAUUUGCAGACCUGUUUCCAGAUCUCAGCCGCCUCUGCCUUUCAGAAGCACUUGCCCCAGUAGAAACGCUCAGAUCACAAAUUCUCUUAGACGUUUCAGCUAUAUAAUCUCCUUCUCCUCCCUUCGACUCAAAGCCAGGUCCCCCCUUUCACCCCCUUAUAUCCUCUAAGUGUCUGAGGUCUCCCAGGGCCCCCUCUCUAUUCAGUUCCUGGGUAAUCACAGGGCCAACGAGGCGGCUCCCCAUGGUUCAUUACAACACCAAGCUCUCUCCAGACUCCCUUUUCCAGCCUGUUUUAGGACAUCUGUACCUCUGGGACCAUAGUCCCCUUCAAUAUGACAGAUCUACAAGGACUCUCUACACGUCUCCCACCACAUCAUCCUCUCUUCCUCCUCAGUUUCUCUUAAGAACUUCACCAUCCUUGGUCCCUUCUGAUUUCCUCUUUCUCCUUCAUCUCCGGGAGUCAAAGUCAGCUCCUUCAACGCUAUUUCAAUCCCACAGCCAUAGUCUUAGUCUAGGCUUUCCCCUCCCUUCAGUCUGGAUUACUGCACAGGCUUCCUAAACACUGUGCCUGCCUCAGUUACAACCAGAGUGCUCCAAGCCACCCACAGCGCCC